GAUGAACGCUGGCGGUAUGCUUAAUACAUGCAAGUCGAACGGACUCUUCGGAGUUAGUGGCGGACGGGUGAGUAACGCGUGAGAAUCUGGCUUUGGGUUCGGGACAACCACUGGAAACGGUGGCUAAUACCGGAUGUGCCGAGAGGUAAAAGAGAAAUUGCCUGAAGAUGAGCUCGCGUCUGAUUAGCUAGUUGGUGAGGUAAAGGCUCACCAAGGCAGCGAUCAGUAGCUGGUCUGAGAGGAUGACCAGCCACACUGGGACUGAGACACGGCCCAGACUCCUACGGGAGGCAGCAGUGGGGAAUUUUCCGCAAUGGGCGAAAGCCUGACGGAGCAAUACCGCGUGAGGGAAGAAGGCUCUUGGGUUGUAAACCUCUUUUCUUAGGGAAGAACAAAAUGACGGUACCUAAGGAAUCAGCAUCGGCUAACUCCGUG
rnacentral:rRNA from 1 species